CGCUCACUGUGAAGAUGGAAAAUUUUGAAGAGUCCUUUCCCCCCUCUCCCAACACUUUAGAAAACAUCAUAUAUCUAGUUAAGUUUAUUUUGAAUUGUGAAGUACAGAUAUAAAAUUUGUAUAUGUGAGUUUUGAUUAUUAACUUUCUAAAAAAGAGAGCUCAGUCGGUCCCGAAUUAUUUUAUAUUUGCCUGUUAAUUUUUUUAUUUUGAGCGAAUUUGAGUCGUGACAUGUCAAUGGAGAACAAAAACUGUAAUGUGAACACAAAAAGGGUCAGAUGUGUUCUGCGAGGUCCUGCAAACAUACUGGUAAAAUGAGAUGCUCAAGUUAGAUCAUCUGAUGUUGUUGUGUUGCUGCGCCAGUACCUGGUUGAGCUCCCAGGUGGCAGUAUUGUGCCUUAACGCUGACACCUGUCACACAAGAAGAUGAUGCAAAGGUGCAGCUACUCCGAGGAAAGCUGUGUUUGUCAGAGUAAGUUGUCAUUACUUUACUAGUCAUAGAAUGGGAAGCGUUAUAUUAACCUGUUAACAGCGUUUUUCUGUGUUCAUAUAUUUAAGUAAAGGGUGAUUAUUUUAAUAAGUACUGCAUUUUCUUUACUUGUUUUAUUUUUGUAUUUGCAAUCAAUAAGGCCUGUGGGUAGUAACACUUUAUUUCUUUGUUCAAAUCUAUUAACAAUUAUAUGAUUAAAACUGAUCUUGAAAAACUGAGCGACCACAUUGCUACAUUAAACUCUGAAAAACGUUAAGUUGGUCGCAGUGCCAUGCACUUAAUGCAUCAUCUGAGGUCAUUCUUCAGUAAGGUUCAUUAGUUAACAUUAGUUAAUUACAUUAGUUAACAUAUAUAAAUAAUAUUAAUAAUGAACAAUAUUUCCACAUCUUUAAUUUCAGCAUUUACUUACGCAUUAUUAAAAUCACAAGUUGUGUUUGUAAACAUUAAUGCACUGUGAACUAACAUGAACAAUGAACGACUCUAUUUUUAUUAACAUUAACAAAGAUUAAUAAAUUGUGUAAUAAAUGUAUUGUUCAUUGUUCUUUCAUGUUAGUUAAUACAUUAAUGUUAACAAAUGACAUCUUAUUGUAAAGUGUUACCAUUAAUAUUUAUUCAUCAUACUGUUGAACUUGACAGUAUUU
rnacentral:lncRNA from 1 species